CCUACGGGCGGCAGCAGUGAGGAAUAUUGGUCAAUGGACGAGAGUCUGAACCAGCCAAGUAGCGUGAAGGAUGACUGCCCUAUGGGUUGUAAACUUCUUUUAUAUGGGAAUAAAAUGUUCCACGUGUGGGAUUUUGUAUGUACCAUAUGAAUAAGGAUCGGCUAACUCCGUGCCAGCAGCCGCGGUAAUACGGAGGAUCCGAGCGUUAUCCGGAUUUAUUGGGUUUAAAGGGAGCGUAGGUGGAUUGUUAAGUCAGUUGUGAAAGUUUGCGGCUCAACCGUAAAAUUGCAGUUGAAACUGGCAGUCGUGAGUACAGUAGAGGUGUGCGGAAUUCGUGGUGUAGCGGUGAAAUGCUUAGAUAUCACGAAGAACUCCGAUUGCGAAGGCAGCUCACUGGACUGCAACUGACACUGAGGCUCGAAAGUGUGGGUAUCAAACAGGAUUAGAUACCCCAGUAGUC
rnacentral:rRNA from 1 species